rnacentral:rRNA from 1 species
UACGAAGGGAGCUAGCGUUGUUCGGAAUCACUGGGCGUAAAGCGCACGUAGGCGGAUGUGUCAGUCAGGGGUGAAAACCCGGAGCUCAACUUCGGAACUGCCUUUGAUACAGCACGUCUUGAGUCCGAUAGAGGUGGGUGGAAUUCCUAGUGUAGAGGUGAAAUUCGUAGAUAUUAGGAAGAACACCGGUGGCGAAGGCGGCCCACUGGAUCGGUACUGACGCUGAGGUGCGAAAGCGUGGGGAGCAAACAGG